rnacentral:rRNA from 1 species
AGUGAACGCUGGCGGUAGGCCUAACACAUGCAAGUCGAACGGCAGCACAGGAGAGCUUGCUCUCUGGGUGGCGAGUGGCGGACGGGUGAGGUAUACAUCGGAAUCUACUCUGUCGUGGGGGAUAACGUAGGGAAACUUACGCUAAUACCGCAUACGACCUACGGGUGAAAGCAGGGGACCUUCGGGCCUUGCGCGAUUGAAUGAGCCGAUGUCGGAUUAGCUAGUUGGCGGGGUAAAGGCCCACCAAGGCGACGAUCCGUAGCUGGUCUGAGAGGAUGAUCAGCCACACUGGAACUGAGACACGGUCCAGACUCCUACGGGAGGCAGCAGUGGGUAAUAUUGGACAAUGGGCGCAAGCCUGAUCCAGCCAUACCGCGUGGGUGAAGAAGGCCUUCGGGUUGUAAAGCCCUUUUGUUGGGAAAGAAAUCCAGCUGGCUAAUACCCGGUUGGGAUGACGGUACCCAAAGAAUAAGCACCGGCUAACUUCGUGCCAGCCGCCGCUGUAA